rnacentral:rRNA from 1 species
UACAGAGGGUGCAAGCGUUGUUCGGAAUCAUUGGGCGUAAAGAGCUCGUAGGCGGUUUGUCGCGUCGGCCGUGAAAACUUGGGGCUUAACCCCAAGCCUGCGGUCGAUACGGGCAGACUUGAGUUCGGCAGGGGAGACUGGAAUUCCUGGUGUAGCGGUGAAAUGCGCAGAUAUCAGGAGGAACACCGGUGGCGAAGGCGGGUCUCUGGGCCGAUACUGACGCUGAGGAGCGAAAGCGUGGGGAGCGAACAGG